UAGCCCAAAUGGAAAACUAAUAGCUAUAUCACUUCUUGAUAGUACAGUGAAAAUAUUUUUUGUAGAUACUUUAAAAUUUUUCUUAUCUUUAUUUGGUCAUAAAUUUCCAGUAAUUUGCAUGGAUAUUUCAUAUGAUAGCAAUCUGAUAAUUACUGGUUCAGCUGAUAGAAAUGUAAAAAUAUGGGGAUUAGAUUUUGGAGAUUGCCAUAGAUCUAUAUUUGCACAUGAUGAAAGUAUAAUGUGCAUGAAGUUUAUACCAAAGACACAUAUGUUUUUCACUGGAGGUAAAGAUAAAACCAUUAAGCAAUGGGAUGCUGAUAAUUUUAAAAAAAUUAA